GAGGAAAAGAAACCAACAGGGAUUGCCUUAGUAGCGGCGAGUGAAGCGGCAAAAGCUCAAAUUUGAAAUCUGGCACUUUCAGUGUCCGAGUUGUAAUUUGAAGAAGGUAUCUUUGGGUCUGGCUCUUGUCUAUGUUUCUUGGAACAGAACGUCACAGAGGGUGAGAAUCCCGUGCGAUGAGAUGACCCAGACCUAUGUAAAGUUCCUUCGAAGAGUCGAGUUGUUUGGGAAUGCAGCUCUAAGUGGGUGGUAAAUUCCAUCUAAAGCUAAAUAUUGGCGAGAGACCGAUAGCGAACAAGUACAGUGAUGGAAAGAUGAAAAGAACUUUGAAAAGAGAGUGAAAAAGUACGUGAAAUUGUUGAAAGGGAAGGGCUUGAGAUCAGACUUGGUAUUUUGUAUGUUACUCUUUCGGGGGUGGCCUCUACAGUUUACCGGGCCAGCAUCAGUUUGGGCGGUAGGAGAAUUGCAAAGAAAUGUGGCACUGCUUCGGUAGUGUGUUAUAGUCUUUGUCGAUACUGCCAGCCUAGACUGAGGAC
rnacentral:rRNA from 1 species